GUACUUAGGUGAGGUUAGGUAAAAAUAAAUAAAUUAAGAAAUUAAAAUUGAUACUAUAAGCUGGUAAAGCAUCAAUUAAGGAUAAAAAUAAGCUAAAAAUAUUGAUAGGUCAUGUACCUAUUUUUCGAGAAAUUUGAGAUUUACAAUAUGGCGGGAAAAGGCUGACACGGACUUUUACCUUAUAUUUGCAUUGGUAUUAUUUG
rnacentral:lncRNA from 1 species